CCUACGGGAGGCAGCAGUAGGGAAUAUUGCUCAAUGGGGGAAACCCUGAAGCAGCAACGCCGCGUGGAGGAUGAAGGUUUUCGGAUUGUAAACUCCUUUUGUUAGAGAAGAUAAUGACGGUAUCUAACGAAUAAGCACCGGCUAACUCCGAGCCAGCAGCCGCGGUAAUACGGAGGGUGCAAGCGUUACUCGGAAUCACUGGGCGUAAAGAGGGCGUAGGCGGGAUAGCAAGUCAGAUGUGAAAUCCUAUGGCUUAACCAUAGAACUGCAUUUGAAACUGGUAUUCUAGAGUAUGGGAGAGGUAGGUGGAAUUCUUGGUGUAGGGGUAAAAUCCGUAGAGAUCAAGAGGAAUACUCAUUGCGAAGGCGACCUGCUAGAACAUAACUGACGCUGAUGCGCGAAAGCGUGGGGAGCAAACAGGAUUAGAUACCCGGGUAGUC
rnacentral:rRNA from 1 species